ACUGCCUGCAGAAGAUCAACUGUCCCCACUGUCCUCGGGUCUUCCCUUGGGCCAGCUCCCUCCAGAGGCACAUGCUCACACACACUGGUCAGAAACCCUUCCCUUGUCAAAAAUGCGAUGCCUUCUUUUCUACCAAAUCUAACUGUGAACGCCACCAGUUGCGCAAACACGGAGUUACCACCUGUUCCCUGAGAAGAAACGGGCUUAUCCCCCCAAAAGAGAGUGAUGUUGGAUCCCAUGAUAGCACAGAUAGCCAGUCAGACUCGGAAACACUGGCGGUGGCAGGUGAGGUGCUGGACCUCACCGCACGGGACAAGGAGCAGCUGCCAUCAG